rnacentral:lncRNA from 1 species
CUCCGCCGCGGGCUCUGCCCGCUCGCCUGCUCGCCUGGUGGGGGAGAGGGGAGCGGGGCCGACACAGGGUGAGUGGAGGGCGGGAGGGGGCGGCCGCGCGCGCGGGGGCCCGGGGCAGUUGAGUGGGGUGAGGGGCUCGGGGUGUAGCGGACGGCAGAGGGGCUCGGGGGGUUAGAAGUGAGGGGUGUCAGGGGGGCCUGGCAGAAUGAGUGAGGUGAGAGGCCUGGGGUGUGAGAGAUGUGGGGAGGAGUCUGAGGCAGAUGGGUGGGGUGAGGGGAGCGGGGGGAUUCGCGGGGGCCCGUGGGGGGCACUGGAAGGAUUCGGAAGGGUGCAGUGUGGGAGCCCGGGGGCCGAGGGGGCAUGGCAUGGAGGCAGGAGCGAGGAAGGGGGCCCGAGGAGGGAUAUUUACCGCGAGGAGGCGCGGGAAGUGCUGGCGGAGGUGCUGUGAGGGUGUCUCGGGAAGGUGCUGGGCGAGGGGCGUCCAGGCGAGGGAACCGAGGGGCCUGGGACGUGAGUGCGGAGGGAAGCGGUGUGCAGAAGUGGGGGCUGCCCAGGAGCGGUAGUGACACCCAGACGGCCCGCAGAGGGGCCCGGGCGCGGCGCUGCUGUGAUGGAGACCGGGGAGCGUGGGGAAGGUUCGGAGAGGCCCAGGGCUGCGCUCCCCAGCUUGAGGGGUCCCAGGAGUGAGCGGGAUCGGGAGUGAUCUGUGCAGAGAGGGAGUCUGCGGACCGGGCCAGAGGCUCAGGUUGUUCGGAUGCUGGCGGGACUCGCGUCAGCAUUCGGCCCCAGAGCCCGCGUGAGGGGCGGCGGGUCCUGAAGGACCAACCUCCUGCACGUGAGGGUGUCGUGACUGAGAGGGGCCUGGGCAGUGGGCAUUUUCGGGUGCUGUGCAGCAAGGGGACCGGGGGAGUCCGUCGAGGGCAGAAGAGCGGAAGGCGCUGGUGGCAGACCAAGUCUGGCAGGGACUGUGCUUGUGCAAGGCAGCUGGCCACUGUCAGGCCUAGGACGACGGCCAGAGCGUGGGAGAGACGACAAAGUGCCUCCUCAGCCUGGGAGCGUCGGGGCCUUUGGACGCCCGCGUCCUGCGCUUCCAACUUGCAGGCCACACUCUGCAGCCCCGUAAGCCGGGGGGGCGGGGUAGUGCCGCAGGAGGGCGGGCUCGGGGGUGGGGCAGGAGCGCUCGCGCGCGCUCUCCACGAAUCAGGAGGGCCUGGGAGGGCCUACAGGGCGCGACGUCGGUGGGCAGGGUUCAGUGGGCGGCCUGAGGCGAAGAGCUGCUUGCCUCCGCCUGCUAGGUUGCGCGCGCACUUCAGGCCUUGCGGGCAUGUCCAGCUCUUCUGUGGCUUCCAGCAGGCGAGGCCAAACAGGAUCUUUCUCACUUCCCCACAUCUCCUGGAUCCUGGAGCUGAUGCAGUCAGGUCCCGUGCUCACCGGGGGAACCGGCGAGCCUCUCCAAAGUAUUAAAGGACACUUCCGGAAGAGCCUUUGGCCUGUGGUCAGCCCGCAGACAUCGGUGGUCUCUGUACCUGUAGGAGCCCCAUGAGGGUCCAGGUGUGGGAGACAGUCCUGGGACAGGGCUUCUGCGGCCGAGGCAGGUGGAAAGGCACUCCAGGGGAGCUGCUGUAAAAGGUAGUUGGUAGGCAAGAGGUGGGCGUUCUGCUCCAAAUCCAGGACCUCCACUGGCAUUCUGGCUCUGUGUGUGUGGGCGGGACCAGGUGCCAGUUGCCCUUGGGGCGUGCUCACGUGUGAGUAGCUGCUUUUCCAAGGGCACCUUUGGGACCCCAGUGAAUCACCUCAUGGGGUAGAUCCAUGAUAGUUGAAGAAGUGCCCUUUUAGUCAGGAAGGCAAGCCCUAGUGUAAUAGCCCAGGCUCCAGGGCAUGCCCUUCUUAAUCCUCCCAAUACAGACCACAAUACUGGGACGGACUCCCAAUACUCCCUAAUACAGACCACAUUAGGGCCCCAUGGCAGCUAGCAUUUCCCUUGUUCUAACUUCUAAUGCUCUUCACAUUUGUUAUGAGGGUGUGGCUGACCUGGGACCUGGUGAAAUCAAUUUUCUAAAAUAAGAAAAAUAAAAAAGAAAAAGACUUCUGAAUUCUAAGGGGUCAGAGAAGGAUCUUCCAGAGAUUGCUGAGUGGGGAGGGCCUGGGGAUAUGGUUCUACAGUUUUUGGUCAUAACCACAAAGAUUAGCAUCUCUGCUGCCUGGUCGAUGAAGCAUCCCAAAUAGUCCAUCAGCGAGGGCAAAGUGAUGGAAACAUUUGGAGUCACUGAUUAACAUGCUUGAGGGCUGGAUCCCUUAUUUGGGAGGUGGGAGUACUUCCAGAGCUUCUUUUCACUUAAUGAAGGCUGGGAAGCUCAGAGCUCAGUGGUACAGGGCUGGAGGAAGUCAUUUUCAUAUAUAGAGUCUUUCUUGUUUGGCCUCUUUUGUAGCAAUGACUCCCCAGGACCCUCCAGUAACAAUUUUCCUUUACCUGCAUCCCCCACCAUCCUCAGGUUCCUGAGAUCACCUUGAAAAAAAAAAAACCCUUACCUUCGCCCAAGUCUUUCAGGCUCAAGCAAGAAAACAACUUGCUAUCUUUUAAGUCCUUGUUCCCCUCAGUUAUGCUCUUUGAUUUAUUAUUUUAUCAAUAUUAAUAGAAUCAAAGAAAAGUAUCACCUAUAGCCCUAUCACCAUCCCUUAGUCCAUCUCUAAUUUCCUCCAUUUCUCCCUGUCCUUGCCUAUAUGCUGACAUAAUUUUAUGUAGCUAUAAAAAAGCCAUGUUUAAAAUUAUAAGGUUAGCAUUUUCUUAUGUGGUGACAUAAUUGCUGUUACUACUAUUAUAAGUGAUUGCAUAAUACCUUACUGAAACAGUCUUAGAUAACACAGUAUUUUGGUUUUACACAUGAAAGAAAGAUUCAAAAAUUGUUGGGACAAGUACCUAUCCAUGAGGAAAAAAUAUAUCUUUAUCCCAGUCCUUACAGCACAUUCAAGAUAGACUGAAUAAUUAAAUAUAAAAAAUUAACAUAAACCAGAACAAAUGGGUAAGUGCUUUUUGAUCUUGGAUGGGAAAGGCCUGAGAGUGACAAAAACUUAAGAAAUUGCCAGGAUAAGACUGAUAAAUUUGGCUAUAUUCAUUCAACAAACAUUUAUUGAGUGCAUAUUCUAUAUGCAAGGUUCUGCUCUAGACACUGGGGAUCUCAGAGUUAUCUAAAAUGACAAGUAGGGAGUUGAGCUAUCAUACUCUCACACAAGUCAGUCAGUCAUAGCCAAAGGCUGUCCCUGGGGGCCUUAAGCCCCUGGGCACUCUGGGGCUCUCUGGGAAUAGGAGCAAAGCAGCCCCACUGACCUGAGGACAGGUGCCAGCCAUGGGAAGCCAGAGCACAUCAAGCCCCAGUGGGGGAUGUCCAGAAACAGUGAAAGGGGCCCAAGGGGACCUAGACAGAGCACCAAAGUGUUGGUUGAAGUUACGUUUCCCAAAUUCCCAUCAUACAGUGUCCUUGUACCACCUGUACAAGAACAGGUUUAAUAUUUUUCUUUAAUUUUUAUUUACAUAUAAUUCUUUUAAUAGGAAACUAAUAGAUUAGGUUUUGAGUUUUUUGUUUGUUUGUUUGUUCGUUUGUUUUUUGAGAUGGAAUCUUCCCCUGUUGCCCAGGCUGGAGUGCAGUGGCGCAAUCUCGGCUCACUGCAAUCCCCACCUCCUGGGUUCAAGGGAUUCUCCUGCCUCAGCCUCCUGAGUAGCUGGGAUUACAGGCACACACCACCACACUUGGCUAAUUUUUGUAUUUUUAGUAGAGAUGCUGUUUCACCAUGUUGGCCAGGCUGGUCUCAAACUCUUGACAUCAAGUGAUCCACCCACCUCUGCCUCCCAAAGUGCUGGGAUUACAGGUGUGACCCACCACGCACAGCCUAGAUUUUUUUAAAAAACAUACAAAUGAGACAUGUAGAAAGGACCAUGACCUUAGAAUGAAGGUGCUACACAGAGUAGGGGGUAAAGAUUGGGAUACCAAGGGUAGGGGGACAUGAGGCUAGGGCUGACGAACCCAGCCCCAAGGGACCAAGGACAGGAGCAGAUAGGAAGAUGGAAGAAAUUGCCCAGGGCACCCUAGCCUGGAGUCUCUGGUAGAGCUCCAAGAGGGAGUGGUUGGAGUUGGACUCAGGUGACACAUAGGGGUGACACUGCUCUGUGAGUGCAAGCGUGAGGAGUGAGGCCAGAAAGAGGCUGCCCCUGAGGAAGGAACAUUGGGCAUUGAGAUCAAAAUGAGAUGGUGAUUUGAGGAAAGGGGAACUGGGGGUGGACAUCACAGAUGGGUGUUCAGCUAGAAGGAGCAGCAGCAUGUUCCAGGCCUAGAGGCGAGGGACAGAACAUGCUCUGGAAAGGUCUGCAAUGGCUGGGAUUUUGGACACUGGUGCUGGGUAGCUCUCAGAUCAAGCAAAGCCUUGUAAAGCAGGAAAAGCAUCUGGGCUUUAUUUGGGGGGCUGUGGGAAUGACAUAAUCAGAUAUGUGUUUAGAAUAUUUCUGCUGAGGUAGUGCAAGAGGCAGGGAGACCUACAGAAGAUAUUGCAUUAAUACAGAAAGAGGAUGAUGGUAGUUGUGAGGAUUAAGGGGGCUAGACAGAUUCCAGAUACAUUUUGGAAGGAGGUUGGACAAGUCUUGCCUACUGCUUGGGCUUGAGGAGUGAGGGAUGAGCAAGGAGGAAAUGGCCUCCAAGUUUCUGGCUUGUGGGCCCAGACAAAGUUGAGGGCCCUUUGCAAUGCUCUCUGCCUCCAUCAUUCGCAGCCUGCCCCUGCCCUGCUCGCCACCUUUGAAUCUCUCCUGGCGGGCACUGUUUCUUGGUCUGCUUUUUCUCCUCUUUGUGGGCAUCUCAGUCUCAAGUUUUGUGUGUCUGUUACUCAGACUCUGUCUCUCGCUCUCUGUCUCAGGUAUUUUUCUAUGUCUCUGUCUCUUUCUGAGUCUAGCUUCACAUGUCUCUAGCUCAGUCUUCCCAGCCCUUUCUUUCAGGAGCUGGGCCUGAGGGUGGUAAGUGUCCUAUUGGAAAAGAAGUGGAAGUUGGAUUUGGGCAGAGAUUCGUGGUGAUUAGUAAAGUGGAAAUGAACCUGAGCCCACCCACAGGUCUCUCUCCUGGGGUCACCUUGGGACCUAGAUGAGGUUCCUCCAGGCAGCAGCCCUUCUCUCCUACUGGGAACCAGGCCCAGAGUCUGAAAUCAGUUCCAAAGAGCCCUGUGCUAGCCUAGGCAGGCCAAACCACUCCCACACCAAGUAUGUAUCGGAUGCCCUUAUUGUGCCAGGCUAGGGCCACAUGCAGUGGACAAAAUACCCUUAAGGGGCUCACAGCCUAAUGGAGGAGGCAGAAGAGCAAUCAGAGGGUGGCACAGAGUAGAACUGAUUUAUUCUCCAGGGAGUCCCCACAGAGGUGAUGAUGCUAACAGUGUCAUUUCCAGAGCCUUCAGUUCCUGGAUGAGCGGACUUUUUCAUCUACAAUCUCCACAGAGAAGGCUGUAUUUGAGGAGAAGUAGGACAUAAUGACGGAGGAAGAGGUGGAGGUCCUGAAGACCAGGUUGAGUUUGGAAUUUAACCUAAGGGUAAUCUGGAGCCACUGAGACCUCUUGAGCAAGGAACAGGCACCAGUUCAGAAACUAGUUAAGAUCUGAAGGUUAAAGUCAAAACUCAGACCAGCUUAAGCAACAGUGGGGGCUCUACUGGCUCAUGUAAUCAAAUCACAGUUACAUGCCUGGGCUGGAGUGGCCUGCGAGUAGCAUCUGAAGCAAGGAGAUAGAGAUCUCUAGGGGAAGGAUGUGACCUCCAGCUACUACUUUUCCCCAUAACCGGGAUGAUCAAGGUGUUAGGAAAGGCAGAGGACAUCCUUACACCUCAAGACACCCUGUAUUCCCCACUCAGCUUGUUCCAGGACACCAUCCCUAAGGGAUCCCCAGAAGCUCAUCCUUCUGCCUUCAACACCCAUAACUCCCAUGCUUCCUCAACAUCCUGAUCCUUUCUUACCAAGACCCACUCUCCCCCAUCACACAUGGAUUCUUCCAAUCAAAUGUCUAUGUCCACUGACACCUGGCUUCCUAGCCAUCUUCUACCUCUACCCUUGUCCCCAGGGAUGUUCUCUACUUGUCCCCAGGUGGGACCUGGGGACAGCAUCCUUCCCAUCUAAAGACACUUCACUCCCAAGAAUAAGGCUUUCAAACGGGUCAGUGGUCCAGCAGGUGCAGCCCGCCCCCUGGUGGCCACAAUGUUGUGUGGUCCUUUUCCUGAGCCCAGCUGAAUGUGGAAGGCCUCUCUCCCUGCCAGUUCCUCAGUGUACACCACAGUCAGAGUGGGCUCAGUCGUGUCUCUUACCUUACCUGUCAUGAUUUGCACUCUUGUUCAGUUUUCCCCAGAGUAUUAGCAGAAAUGCCCUCAGGAGGCUGGGCGCAGUGGCUCACACCUGUAAUCCCAGGACUUUGGGAGGCCAAGGUGGGCAGAUCAUUUGAGAUCAGGAGUUCAAGACCAGACUGGCCAAUGUAGUGAAACACCCGUCUCUACUAAAAAUACAAAAAUUAGCUGGGCAUGAUGGCGCAGGCCUGUAAUCCCAGCUACUCGGGAGGCUGAGGCAGGAGAAUCACUUGAACCCGGGAGGCGGAGGCUGUAGUGAGCUGAGAUCGCGCCACUGCACUCCAGCCUGGCAACAGAGUGAGACUCCAUCUCAAAAAAAAAAAACAAAAAAGAACGCCCUCAGGAAUAUGAAGGCCUGAGUGCCUGUCUGGAGAGGGUAGAAAGCAGGGGAACUGGAGCGAUGUGCCCCACUUGGCAGCCAGUCUUGGAGGAGGAAAAUGAAAGGCAAAGUGGAUGCAAGCCACUGGUGAAGGAAAAAAGGGCAGUCAACCAGGGUCCUGGGCACACAGAGAAAAGGGCAUCUGGCCUAAAGCUGGUGGUCAGGAGAUAUUUGGGGAAUUUGAGAACAAGACACAUCCUGAUCUGAGAUAGACUCUAGGACCUUGGGAAUGAGCUGAAACAUUCUUAGCGUACCCAGAAACCCAAGAAGCCUUCCUGGAGGGGGACACGCCUGCCACCACUUCUGUACCUCCAAAAUUACAGCCCUGCCUUACCCAGAGAGUUUGGGUGCAAAAAGAGGACAUGGCCUCAGGCUUGGGCCCUCUCUGACAGCCCCGGCUGGGGGAGGGCAUGGCCCUGCCCUGAAACCCUAUCACAAUAGAAUAGCUCCCAGAGCAGAGGGGGCAGGGUAUCUCUGUGUGCCCUCAGCCCACUAGCAGGAGUGGCUUUGGCUCCUGAAAGGGCAGAGAGUCACAGAGUCUCAAGUUGAUUUAGUGACUCUGGAGCCAUUGAGCCCCUUGAGGUGGAACCCCACACUUAGCCCCUGUGUGGAUUGUCCCUUGGAUGACUCCCCAUAUCUCAGCUAGCAGGUAUCAUGUGGCCUGGCUGAUGGAGGUUACUUUUGCUUGGCUGCUGUCAUCUGUCGCCUCUCUCAGCCAGGCUCCCCAGGCCCUGGGCUCUGGCCCAGCCACAGGUACCCCCUUUAUUCCCUGGCCUAUGCCUACACAGGCUGUAUUGGAGCUGAGGUGAGCAGACCCAGACGUGGCCACACUCUGUGGUGUGAAUUCUAUGUCACCCGUCAUCCCAAGGCUGCCUGCUGAUGAAGAGGAAGGGCCAACCCAUAUGUGCAUCACUGCAUGCACCCGUGUAUAUAUUAGGGGGUCCAUAUGCGUGUGUAUGCAGCCCCUUCUGGGAAGGUAGUUGCCCUCUCACAUCUUUUAUAGCAUCAGCUUUGACAGGCAGCUGCCAUGGCAGACCUCCCACUGGCACCAUUCACAUGGGCGGUGCCUUGGCUGGGCAAGGGAGAUAUUUCACGGGCAGGUCUGGUCACAGACACACACCUUGGUACGUGCAGCUACAUGCUCAUUUGUACUUGGGCUCACACGUGACAAGGCUGUCUCUGCCCAGGCUGGUUUCUCUACGUUGGCACUGCCUGUUUCUCCCUCCCUCCCUCCCGCUCUGGCCCUCCAGGUCUCAGCCCUGACAAGCACUGCCCUCCUCUUUCAGCUCCCCUGGAACCCAGCCUCCUACCCUCUUGGUCUUGGAAGGUUCUCAGAGCCUCCCUCAUGAACAUGAUCACAGAUGAGCAUUUGUAGGCAAUUUCUACUUUUCACACUAACUUCCCAGAGGCCUGGGUAGAGAGAGAGCUGGGCUCUCUCCUCUGGAACAGGGGUCAGGGUAUGGGAGGGAAGAAUACAAGGAGGUGGCCAGGGGCCGUGGCUCAUGCCUUUAAUCCUAGCACUUCAGGAGGCUGAGACAGGCGGAUUUCCUGAGCUCAGGAGUUUGAGAUCAGCCUGAGCAACACAGUGAAUCCCAUCUCUACUAAAAUACAAAAAAUUAGCUGGGUGUGCUGGCGUGCACCUGUAGUCCCAGCUACUCGGAGGCUGAGGCAGGAGAAUUGCUUGAACCUUGGAGGCGGAGGUUACAGUGAGCCGAGAUUGCACCACUGCACUCCAGCCUGGGCGACUGAGACUCCUUCUCCAAAAAAAAAAAAAAAAAAAAAAAAGAAUACAAGGAGGUAAAAAAAAAAAUCUCAGUAAAUUAGUCAGUCUGUCUCCUGACUCCACUCUCCUUCCCUCUCUCCCACUUCCCCCUCCCCUGCCACACAGCCCUCCUUGGUUGCUGCUAACAUACACUCAGGCGCCCCUGAUGCACACUGUUCCCCUCCCCCAUACACUGCCAACCCACAUUCCUAAAUGGGGCUCUUAACCCCAGUGAACUGUCCCCAUCUACCCCAUCUGGCUCUGAUCCCACCAUGGCCAUGGGAGGCACUCCUUGUGAUCCACACCUGAGUGCCUGGCUGGGAUGGGUGGAGAAGGAGGCCCUAUCUCAGCUGAAAGAGGCAACAGGCAAGUGGCCUCCUCUCUCUGGACCUUCCUUUCUAGGCAAGAACACACAGAUGAUGGUUUGUUGCCAGAAGGCUCUGGAAUGGGUGCAAACCAGAAGGGGUUCCCUGUCCUGGUCUGAGUUUAGGGAUGGGACCAAAGAAGUAAAAUUUCUGGACGUUCUACUAAAAAUUAUUUUUAAAAUAUCAAAAGCAAAAAAUAUUUUGGGGAAACGGAUACUAGCCACAUGGAAUUGACUAGACGUUGAGAGUUCACACAGCUUGUUAAUAUUUAGUGUCUUUCUGACUCCCUGAUGGCCCUUGGUAAGAGAAAAGAAGGAGGGUGGUUGUCACCCAUCCUGCCUGUUUACUGCACACCAAGCUGUGGCUGGGUACCGUGUUUCCAAAGGCGAGAGGCUCCCUUGGGUGCAGGAAAUGGAGACCAUGUCAGGGAAAGAUCAGCAUGAGGGUCCUGGAGUGAGAGUCUCUGCCCAUCCAAGGCCUCACAGGAACUCAGCUCAAACCAUAAAGAAAGCUAUUAUAUCACCUGGCAGGCCUCAGGGAUGACCUCAGGAAACUGGGUCUUUCAGGAGCAAGGCCACUCCAGACUAAACUCCUGUUACUCCAGACAAGUCAUUUGUCAUGAAUGUGACUCAGCUGCAUCUUUCAUCACUGCUUCAGUUUGGGUCUAACCAUUUGUCCUCUUGUUAACAACUCACUAAUUUUCAUAAGUCCCAGUUUAAAUCUGGGAGACAGUCUGUUUGCCUUAGUUCAUUCCGAUUUUUCAAGUUACUAUACUUAUGUAAAAAAUUACCCCCAAUUUUAGUGACUUUUACAGAAUCAAAAAAUACUUAUAUGCUUAUGAAUCUGCAGUUUAGGCAGGGCUUGGUGGGCCUAGCUCAUCUUUGCUUUCUGUGGGGUCACCUGGGCUGCUUGAUAGUGGGAGCUGGACUGAUCUGGAGGCUUACUUUCUCGCAUGUCACAGUUGAUGCCGGCUGUUGGCUGAUGCUUUGGGCUGUUGGCUGGAAAACCUACAAAUGCUAUUGACCAUGUCUUUUAUUUUCUGUACUCUGAUGUUUUGACAUAUUGGGGUCUUGUUUUUGGCAUCUUGGGGCCUUGCUGACCUUGGAGGGACUGCCCCUUUGAUAGCAGAUUCCUAGAGAUAGCAAAUAACUGACCUGUGAGGGUGUCUUUCAUAUGCAAGCCAGUCAAUCCAGUGCCCACAUUCCCAACCACCCCCUUUAUCCAGCAAUUACAGGCCCCUAUUUUCCUGCCCUAGUCACCCAGGGGCCAAGUACCAGACUACUGGGGCCAGCCCCUACACCUCAGAGCCCACCAAAAUUAUUUAAACUAGCUAAUCCUGAACCUGCUUACCCUGUUCCUUUUUGUAGAAACCACACUAAAUGCCUUUGCCAUAGUUUUCCUUUCUCCCUCAGGUUCCUGACCAAGCUGGUGCUUCUGCGUGUGUUCCUGCAUGACUUGGUGUGUCCCCUUCUCUUGGAUCUGUGAGUAACAAACUAUCUUUUCUUUUUUUCUUUUGAGACAGAGUCUCGCUGUGUCUGUGUCACUGAGGCUGGGGUGCAGUGAUGCAAUCUCAGGUCACUGUACCUCCGCCUCCUGAGUUCAAGUGAUUCUCCUGCCUCAGCCUUCCGAGUAGCUGGGAUUACAGGGAUGCACCAUCACACCCAGCUAAUUUUUGUAUUUUUAGUAGAGAGAGGGUUUCACCAUGUUGGCCAGGCCGGUCUCAAACUCCUGACCUCAGGUGAUCUGCCCGCCUUGGCCUCCCAAAGUGCUGGGAUUUACAGGCAUGAGCCACUGUGCCCAGCCUAAUCUGUCUUUUCAAUGGCAGUCGUCUCUUGACCUGUUGGCCUCUUCAUACCUGAAUAAUAAUAAAACCUAUAUUUUCUUUUUUGUUUGUUUGUUUGUUUUUGAGAUGGAAUUGCUCUUGUUGCCCAGGAUGGAGUACAAUGGCGUGAUCUCAGCUCACUGCAACCUCCGCCACCAGCCUGAAACCUAUGUUUUCAAACAGUGAUCUCUCCAGUGGCCUGGGCUUCCUCACAACAUGGUGGCUGGUUGCAAGGGUGUGUCCUCUGAGAGAGUCCCAGGCGGAAGCCAUAUCACAUUUUAUGACCUAGUCUCAGAAAUUACUCAGUGUCUUUUCUACUGCAUUCUGUUCACCAAGACUAUCAUAAUGUCCCACCUAGGUUCAGGGGGAGGAGAAAUAGACUCCAUCUCUUGAAGGGGCAUGGCAACGUGCUAGAAGAGCCUGUGAAUGGAAAUACUGUGGUAGCCAGUUUUGGAAAUUACAGUCUUCAACGAUCAUCCUCUCUGGGCAGAGCUCUUCAUGCCAGGACACCUCAUAGGUCACUGGCCAGUCAAUGGGGUACUGUUUACAGGUCAGAUAUCUAAUCCUGUCCCACUCUUGCCCUUAGACCUGAGCAAAAGGGACGCUUGCCCUGGGCCUGGUGCUUUAGAAGUCUUUAUUUAGGCCUUUGUCCAGUUGUUCCCUUCCCCAUGGGGUAAGAAAUUUGCAGGACACCAGGGCAUGUGGCUACCUGAAGUCUGUGCCUCCACCUCCCCUGUUACGAAAUGCACCUGGGGCACCUAGGACCUUGGAAUUUCCUAUCCCACAGGCUUGAGCAUGGGGCCCACACAUCAGGGGAGAGCAGUGAGGCAGCUGUGAGCCAGGAGCCUGGGCUUGGCUGUCCCUGUGUUGUCACACUCCGGUGCAGCACUCCAAGGAAUCUGUUCGUUUAAAAUUCGAACUUGGUCAUUCAGCCUCAGAUUUUGUUGCAUUUUCCUGAUUUAGAUGGAAUGGAAUGAAGAAAACUCCACAGCAUACAGAAUUGGCCUCCAUUUGCUCUCUUGUCCUGCAAAUGUCAGAGGUGGGCCUGCCCUGACAGCUGUGGAGGGGGGCAUUUCCUGAGGUGUAGAGAAGAUCCCCCUUCCCUUUCCUCCCAGCUUUGGGUAGAGCCUGAGGCAGCUGGAGGUGUGUCAAGCCCUGUCAUGGCAGGACUCUGUCUUCACCAGUCUUCACAACCUCUCUGUUAAUAAUGCCAUCUUACAGAUGAGGAAACAGGCUUCACGAGGUUAAGUGGCUUGCUCCAUCAGAGCUGAGAUGGUGAUGAUUGCCUUUGUGUCGGGGAAUCCUAUCUGUCCGGGAAGCCGCUGCUCAAGAUGACAGGGCAAGUCAUUGAUUGGGAGUUUCCAGAUCUUAACUCUAAGCUCCCGCCACUCCUGCAUGCUGUGCUUAAAGCAGGAUGGCGUAGGAAAUGAUUGUACUGGAUUUAUCUGAGGAAGGGAAGGCAUUGACAGAAAUCUAGAAAAUUAUUCUGGGAUAAGCAUAAUCAUUAGUCAAACCUCCUCAGCCUCAUUUUUCUGGAGAUGAGGUUACCUGGACGAGGAGCACGUGAUCAGGGGCUAAGACGGGUACUUUUCCUGCGUGCUGGAUAGGGAGGCCUGAAACCCAGAAUCUACUAGAUCUGUGCUCCUUGGGCUUCCCUGUCCUUAGGAAGCUAAAUUUACAACUCCAAACUGCAUAUCUAUUGGACUAUUCCCAGAGAGAUGUUAAGAGAUACAGAUAAAUAGCAAGAGAUUAAGACACAGGCCCAGGCCGGGUGCAAUGACUCAUGCCUGUAAUCCCAGCACUUUGGGAGGCUGAGAUGGACAGAUCACUUGAGCCCUGGAGUUCAAGACCAGCCUGGGCAACAUGGUAAAACCUCAUUUCUACAAAAAAAAAAAAAUGCAAAAAAUUAGCCAGGUGUGGUGGUGUAUGCCUGUAGUCUCAGCUACCCGGGAGGCUGAAGUGGGAGGAUCACGUGAGCCUGGGAGGUCGAGGCUACAGUGAGCCGAGAUAGUGCCACUGCACUCCAGCCCAGGCAACAGAGUGAGACUCUGUCUCAAAAAAAAUAUAUAUAUAUAUGUAUAUAUAUAUAUAUAUAGAGAGAGAGAGAGAGAGAGAGAGAGAGAAAGAGAGAGAGAGAGAGAGAGAGUUCCUGACCAGCCUGGCCAACAUGGUGAAACCCCAUCUCUACUAAAAAAAAUACAAAAAAAUUAGCUGGGAGUGGUGGCACGCACCUGUAAUCCCAGCUACUCAGGAGGCUGAGGCACAAGAAUCACUUGAACCCGGGAGGCGGAGGUUGCAGUGAUCCGUGAUGGAGCCACUACACUCCAGCCUGGGUGAGAGUGAGACUCUAUCUCAAAAAAAAAAAAGACACAGGCCCAAAGUUAUGUCAUAUCUGUCAUGCUUCUCCUUUGCUUGUGCUUUCCCUGUGCCAAGAAUGUUGUUCUUUGCCCCUCCCUUGAGUUACCCUUGCCUGCUUCCCAAGACCCAGUUCAGAGGGAGCCUCCUCCUCUAAGUUUAGUAUUCUUGGUCUGUGUCUUGAGACUUAUUAGUGGCUUUUGGACUUAUUAAUAAGCAGGAAAGAGUGAUUGUAGACUGAGAAGGGAGAGGUGGCAUGAAUGUCCUGAGAUCAGUCUGUGAACUGAUUUAACAUAUCUUGGCUCUGGCACAUUGGGCUGCACCCUCAGAUGUGACCCUCCCAUAUGCCGCACGAGGUCCCUGGGGGAAGCCCUGACACUCACCUGGCUUCUCCUUCUUACACAGAAAAGCUUGACAUGCCAACAAUAACAUUUCUGUUUCCAAAAUUGAAACAGAUUUUUCUUUCUUCAUAACUUUACUUGUUCAACUUUAGAGUUUCUUUUUUCCCUUUAUUUAUGCAAACAUUUUUUCUUCAACAGUGGGGUUCUAAAAGAUAAUUUGAUACCCCUCUAGCAUCGUGUAUGGUUGAGGCCAGAAACCAGGAAGCCAGAGUACUUGCACUUCUCCAAGGCAGCUGUUGAAAUGCAGGACUUCCAUGGGGGAAGGACUGGACCACGGUCCCCUAGCCAUCUUGGAGGACUGGGGCUGCCUUCGGAUUUUAACUGUUUCAUUGUCAAAUUAUCAAAUUGGUUAUUUAUAUAAGGGCUGUCUGCUUAUCUGGUGCUAAGCUGGUUUAAAAGUUCCAGAUGCAGCAAAAGCAUUCUCCAGCACUGGCAACAGUUAUCAGCAAGACCACACUCAAAAUCAACUCAAGAAAACAGCUCUAAACCAGAGAUUGCAAACUGGCAGCCCAGGAGUGAAAUCCAGCCGACUGACCCAUGCUGGUAGCAAACGUGGUUUGUUAUUAUUCUUGUUGUUUUUUUGUAUUUGCCUGUAUAGAGCAGACUGUCAUUACAGUGUUUUUUUUUAAAUAAUUACUUACAGAAACAUCAUAAGAAUAAAGAAUUCCUAUAUACCCUUUAACUAAAUUCCCCAAAGAUUAACUUUUUACUCCCCAAUUGUAUUAUUUGAACCAUUUGAAAGUAAACUUCAGGCCUAUCCUCAACAUUUCAAAAUAUCUUUAAAAAGGACAAUCUCUCAUAUAACCAUGAUACAAUGAUCAAAUCAAUCAGUAAAUUAACAUUGAUACAGUGUUAUCAACUAAUCCACAGACCUCAUGCUUAUUUCACCAAUUUACCUAUUUUGUCUUUUAUAGCAAAGGGGAAUAUUUAUGUUUUCUGGUCUAGGAUCCAAUUUAAGAUUAUGUUUCCCUGUUUCUUUAGUUUCCUUUAAUCUGGUACAGCCCAGUGAUUUUGUAGAAUACUCCUUAACAUGGGUUUGUCUGUUGUUUCCUCAUGAUUAGAUUCAGAUUAUGCAUUUUUGGUGAGUACUCCAGGAGUGAUGUUGUAUCCUCACCAGUGCCGCAUAUGAGGAGGCACUUGACAUUGCUUUGUGGCAUUAUUGAUAAUGUUAAGUUUGAUUACUUGGUUAAGGCAGUGUCUCUAAGGUUUCUUCACUGUAAAUUUUGUCCUUUGUAUUUUUCCCAUUGUAAUUAAAAAGCAUUUUGUGUAUGAGGGAGGUACUUUGAGAUGAUGUAAAUACCCUCAUUCUCAUAAAACAUUUACCCUCUAGUUUUAGCAUCUGUUGAUGACCCUUGCCUUAAUCAGUUAUUGCUGUUAAAUUUUGGUCAGUGGGAGAUUGCUCAAGUUGGGUUUUGAGUACUUUUGACACAUCCCUAUUAUUCUCAAGCUCUUCUUUACUCUGGUACAACAAAAUGCUUUGGGCUCAUAGGGUCUUUUUCUUGUACCAGCCCUGGAAUCAGUUAUUUCUCUAAGGAGUCCUGCUUCUUUUUAGUGGAGAAUAGUACUUAGAAGCCAAGAUCUGGGUGCCAGAUGCGCUUAUUGCUGCUGCAGUGUCAUUGAUCCUAGGCUCCCUUGGUGGACACAGCUAUAUAAAUUUAUCUAUAUCUACCUAUCUAUCAUUUAUCAAUAUCAAUUAAUCUAUCUACAUCUAUAUUAUUAAUCAACCUCUCUAUCAAUCAUCUAUUUAUAUUCAAUCUACUAAAACCUGGAGUUUAUGAUGACACCUCAGAUUCCUAACACCACAUGAUUCAGUAUAUUUCCUUCUCCUCUUGCCAUAUUUGUAACUCCCUUCCCUGAUAGUGAAAAACUUGACUCCCAUUAUCCACAAUACAUUAUUUAUACACAAUGCUCAAUCUUAGAAUGCCCAGAAAGUAGCUUCAGAAUUGCUAUCCCAUUCUACUGCAAAAACCCAACUCAGUAAGUAGAGUUCAAUAUUUUUUUACACUGUCUUUGCCUUUUGUCAAAAUACUUUAUUCAAAUAUUACUUAGAUUAGUUCCUCCACCUCUAAUGAGGGUCAUUUUUUUUCUGUUUGUGUUUUAUGUUAGUGUUUUCUCCCCACCUUGUUUGUUUGUUUGUUUUAGGCAAGUGAAACACUAACACGGUUCUAAAAGUCAGAACUACACAGAAAGGUAUCCUCAGAGAAGUGUCACUGCCCUUUGUAACUUACCCCCAACCCACUUCCUACCUACCAGGCAUGGACCCUACAACUUUAGGUAAUCGUUAUCAUUACUUUCUGGUUUGUCCUUCUUAUGUUUUUGUUGUUGUUGUUGUUGUUCUGUAUAGUCGACACAAGUAUAUAUUAUGAUUUCUCUCUUCUUACAUGAUAAGUAGCACACAAUAGAUACUCAUUUGUACUUCUCCUUUUCACUUCACAAUACAGCCUGCAAAUCACUCCACUUCAGUUCAUAGAGAUAUUCCUAAUAAUCUUUAAUUAAAGCCACUGUAUAGUAUUUCAUUGUGUGGACUUAGUAUCAUUUCUUCAGCUACCCUUCCAUGUAUGGCAUUUAGUAUGUUUCCAGAAUUUUGCACUACAAACAAUGCUAUAGUACUUUUUAUGUUGUUGGAGAAGUAACUUAAGGUAUGUUCCUGGAUAACUGGGUCAAAAGGAAGACACUUGUAGUUUUGUUAGGAAUUGCAAAUUUCCUCCCAGAAAGUUUGUAUCAAUUUGCAUUUUCACCAGCAAUGUAUGAGAGUACCUCUUUCCCCACAGCCUCACCAACAGAAUGUGUUGUUAUAUUAAACAUUUUUUGCCAAUCUGCUAGGAGAGAAAUGGUACCUCAGCACAGUUUAAAUUUGUAUUUCUCUUAUAAUGUGAAUUGAACAUAUUUUUAAAUGUUUAAGCCCAUUUUAAUAUCUUUUUUUAGUGACUUAUCCAUCAUGUCUUUUGCCCAUUUUUCUAUGGACUUAUAAAAUAUCUCACUUCUCACUUUUUUAAAGAGUUUGUUUCUACAUUAAGGACAUUGGCUCUUUAUCUGUGACAUAAAUGCAAAUAUUUUCUCCCAUUUUGUCAUUUGUCUUUUGACUUUGCUUAUGGUAUUUUUUGCCAAGAAAACAUUUUUUUCUUUUAAGGUUUUUUUGGUUGUGUUUUAUUUUGUUUUGAGACAGAGUCUCGCUCUGUCGCCCAGGCUGGAGGGCAGUGGCGUGGUCUUGGCUCACUGCAACCUCCGCCUCUUGGGUUCAAGCGAUUCUUCUGCCUCAGCCUCCUGAGUAACUGGGACUACAGGUGCGCAUCACCAUGUCAGGCUAAUUUUUGUAUUUUUAGUAGAGGUGGGGUUUCACCAUAUGGCCAGGCUAGUCUUGAUCUCCUGACUUUGUGAUCCACCCACCUUGGACUCCCAAAGUGCUGGGAUUACAGGCAUAAGCCACCGUGCCUGGCCUCUUUUUAGUUUUAUGUAGUCAAAUAUAUCAAUCUGUUCUUUUAUUGCCACUGGAUUUUGAGUCAUAGUUGGAAAGCCUUUCUCUACAACCAGACUAUGCAAGACCAUAUCCAUGUUUUCUUCUAGUGCCUGUAUGGUUUCAUCUUUUACAGUUAGACCUCUGAUCCAUUUGCAAUUGCUUCUCUCGUAUGGUGUGAGAUAAGGAUCCGGAUUUUUUUUUUUUUUCUUUGGAGACGGAGUCUCGCUCUGUCACCCAGGCUGGAGUGCAGUGGUACAAUCUUGGCUCACUGCAAACUCUGCCUCCUGUGUUCACGCCAUUCUCCUGCCUCAGCCUCCCAAGUAGCUGGGACUACAGGCACCCGCCACCACGCCCGGCUAAUUUUUUGUAUUUUUAGUAGAGAUGGGGUUUCACCGUGUUAGCCAGGAUGGUCUCGAUCUCCUGACCUCGUGAUCUGCUCGCCUCGGCCUCCCAAAGUGCUGGGAUUACAGGCGUGAGCCACCCCGCUCGGCCAUAGGAUCCGGAUUUUUUAAAAUUAUUUUUUUAAAUUAUACUUUAACUUCUAGGGUACAUGUGCACAAUGUGCAGGUUUGUUACAUAGGUAUACAUGUGCCAUGUUGGUUUGCUGCACCCAUCAGCUCAUCAUUUACAUCAGGUAUUUCUCCUAAUGCUAUCCCUCCCCCAACACCCCAUCCACCAACAGGCUCUGGUGUGUGAUGUUCCCCUCCCUGUGUCCAUGUGUUCUCAUUGUUCGACUUCCACUUCUGAGCGAGAACAUGCGGUGUUUGGUUUUCUAUCCUUGUGAUAGUUUGCUCAGAAUGAUGAUUUCCAGCUUUAUCCAUGUCCCUGCAAAGGACAUGAACUCAUCCUUUUUUAUGGCUGCAUAGUAUUCCAUGGUGUAUAUGUGCCACAUUUUCUUUAUCCAGUCUGUUAUUGAUGGACAUUUGGGUUGGUUCCAAGUCUUUGCUAUUGUGAAUAGUGCCACAAUAAACAUACAUGUGCAUGUGUCUUUAUAGUAGCAUGAUUUAUAAUCCUUUGGGUAUAUACCCCAUAAUGGGAUUGCUGGGUCAAAUGGUAUUUCUAGUUCUAGAUCCUUGAGGAAUCACCACACUGUCUUCCACAAUGGUUGAACUAAUUUACACUCCCACUGACAGUGUAAAAAGCCUUCCUAUUUCUCCACGUCCUCUCCAGCAUCUGUUGUUUCCUGACUUUUUAAUGAUCGCCAUUCUAACUGGUGUGAGAUGGUAUGUCAUUAUGGUUUCAAUUUGCAUUUCUCUGAUGACCAGUGAUGAUGAGCCUUUUUUCAUGUGUCUGUUGGCUGCAUAAAUGUCUUCUUUUGGGAAGUGUCUGUUGAUAUCCUUUGCCCAGUUUUUGAUGGGGUUGUUUGUUUUUUCUUAUAAAUUUGUUUAAGUUCUUUGUAGAUUCUGGAUAUUAGCCCUUUGUCAGAUGGAUAGAUUGCAAAAAUUUUCUCCCAUUCUGUUGGUUGCUUGUUCACUCUGAUGAUAGUUUCUUUUGCUGUGCAGAAUCUCUUUAGUUUAAUUAGAUCCUAUUUGUCUAUUUUGGCUUUUGUUGCCGUUGCUUUUGGUGUUUUAGUCGUGAAGUCUUUGCCCAUGCCUAUGUCCUGAAUGGUAUUGCCUAGGUUUUCUUCUAGGGUUUUUAUGGUUUUAGGUCUUACAUUUAAGUCUUUAAUCCAUCUUGAGUUAAUUUUUUUAGAAGGUGUAAGGAAGGGAUCCAGUUUCAGCUUUCUACAUAUGGCUAGCCAGUUUUCCCAGCAUCAUUUAUUAAAUAGGGAAUCCUUUCCCCAUUGCUUGUUUUUGUCAGGUUUGUCAAAGAUCAGAUGGUUGUAGAUAUGUGGUGUUAUUUCUGAGGCCUCUGUUCUGUUUCAUUGGUCUAUAUAUCUGUUUUGGUACCAGCACCAUGCUGUUUUGGUUACUGUAGACUUGUAUAGUUUGAAGUCAGGUCUUGGCUAUGCAGGCUCUUUUUUGGUUCCAUGUGAACUUUAAAGUAGUUUUUUCCAAUUCUGUGAAGAAAGUCAUUGGUAGCUUGAUGGGGGUAGCGUUGAAUCUAUAAAUUACCUUGGGCAGGAUGGCCCUUUUCACAAUAUUGAUGUUUCCUAUCCAUGAGCAUGGAAUGUUCUUCCAUUUGUUUGUAUCCUCUUUUAUUUCGUUGAGCAGUGGUUUGUAGUUCUCCUUAAAGAGGUCCUUCACAUCCCUUGUAAAUUGGAUUGCUAGGUAUUUUAUUCUCUUUGUAGUAAUUGUGAAUGGGAGUUCACUCAUGAUUUGGCUCUCUGUUUGUCUGUUAUUGGUGUAUAGGAAUGCUUGUGAUUUUUGCACAUUGAUUUUGUAUCCUGAGACUUUGCUGAAGUUGCUUAUCAGCUUAAGGAGAUUUUGGGCUGAGAUGAUGGGGUUUUCUAAAUAUACAAUCAUGUCAUCUGCAAACAGAGACAAUUUGACUUCCUCUUUUCCUAAUUGAAUACCCUUUAUUUCUUUCUCUUGCCUGAUUGCCCUGGCUAAAACUUCCAAUACUCUGUUGAAUAGGAGUAGGGAGAGAGGGCAUCCUUGUCUUGUGCCAGUUUUCAAAGGGAAUGCUUCCAGUUUUUGCCCAUUCAGUAUGAUAUUGGCUGUGGGUUUGUCAUAAAUAGCUCUUAUUAUUUUGAGAUAUGUUCCAUCAAUACCUAGUUUAUUGAGAGUUUUUAGCAUGAAAGGCUGUUGAAUUUUGUUGAAGGCCUUUUCUGCAUCUAUUGAGAUAAUCAUGUGUUUUUUUUUCAUUGGUUCUGUUUAUGUGAUGGGUUAUGUUUAUUGAUUUGUGUAUGUUGAACCAGCCUUGCAUCCUAGGGAUGAAGCUGACUGGAUCAUGGUGGAUAAGCUUUUUGAUGUGCUGCUGAAUUCAGUUUGCCAGUAUUUUAUUGAGGAUUUUUGCAUUGAUAUUCAUUUGGGAUAUUGGCCUGAAAUUCUCUUUUUUUGUUGUUGUGUCUCUGCCAGGCUUUGGUAUCAGGAUGAUGCUGGCCUCAUAAAAUGAGUUAGGGAGGAUUCCUUUUUUUUCUAUUGAUUAGAAUAGUUUCAGAAGGAAUGGUAGCAGCUCCUCUUUGUACCUCUGGUAGAAUUCGGCUGUGAAUCUGCCUUGUUCUGGACUUUUUGUGGUUGGUAGGCUAUUCAUUAUUGCCUCAAUUUCAGAACCUAUUAUUGGUCUAUUCAGAGAUUCAACUUCUUCCUGGUUUAGUUUUGGGAGGGUGUAUGUGUCCAGGAAUUUAUCCAUUUCUUCUAGAUUUUCCAGUUUAUUUGCAUAGAGGUGUUUAUAGUAUUCUCUGAUGGUAGUUUGUAUUUCUGUGGGAUCAGUGGUGAUAUCCCCUUUAUCAUUUUUUUUAUUGCAUCUAUUGGAUUCUUCUCUCUUUUCUAUUAGUCUUGCUAGCAGUCUAUCUAUUUUGUUAAUCUUUUCAAAAAACCAGCUCCUGGAUUCAUUGAAUUUUUUUUGAAGGGUUUUUUGUGUUUCUAUUUCCUUCAGUUCUGCUCUGAUCUUAGUUAUUUCUUAUCUUCUGCUAGCUUUUGAAUUUGUUUGCCCUUCCUUCUCUAGUUCUUUUAAUUGUUAUGUUAGGGUGUCAAUUUUAGAUCUUUCCUGCUUUCUCUUGUGGGCAUUUAGUGCUAUAAAUUUCCCUCUACACACUGUUUUAAAUGUGUCCCAGAGAUUCUGGUACGUUGUAUCUUUGUUCUCAUUGGUUUCAAAGAACAUCUUUAUUUCUGCCUUCAUUUCGUUAUUUACCCAGUAGUCAUUCAGGAGCAGGUUGUUCAGUUUCCAUGUAGUUGUGCGGUUUUGAGUGAGCUUCUUGAUCCUGAGUUCUAAUUUGAUUGCACUGUGGUCUGAGAGACAGUUUGUUGUGAUUUCUGUUCUUUUACAUUUGCUGAGGAGUGUUUUACUUCCAGUUAUGUGGUCAAUUUUAGAAUAAGUGCGAUCUGGUGCUCAGAAGGAUGUAUAUUCUGUUGAUGUGGGUUGGAGAGUUCUGUAGAUGUCUAUUAGGUCCACUUGGUCCAGAGCUGAGUUCAAGUCCUGGAUAUCCUUGUUAACCUUCUGUCUCGUUGGUCUGUCUAAUACUGACAGUGCAGUGUCUCCCAUUAUUAUUGUGUGGGAGUCUAAGUCUCUUUGUAGGUCUCUAAGGACUUGCUUUAUGAAUCUGGAUGCUCCUGUAUUGGGUGCAUAUAUAUUUAGGAUAGUUAGCUCUUCUUGUUGAGUUGAUCCCUCUACCAUUAUGUAAUGGCCUUCUUUGUCUUGGCUUGUAGGGUUUCUGCUGAGAGAUCUGCUGUUAGUCUGAUGGGCUUCCCUUUGUGGGUAACCCUACCUAUUUCUCUGGCUACCCUUAACAUUUUUUCCUUCAUUUCAAUCUUGGUGAAUCUGUCAAUUAUGUGUCUUGGGUUGCUCUUCUUGAGGAGUAUCUUUGUGGUGUUCUCUGUAUUUCCUGAAUUUGAAUGUUGACCUGCCUUGCUAGGUUGGGGAAGUUCUCCUGGAUAAUAUUCUGAAGAGUGUUUUCUAACUUGGUUCCAUUCUCCCCGUCACUUUCAGGUACACCAAUCAAACAUAGAUUUGGUCUUUUCACAUAGUCCCAUAUUUCUUGGAGGCUUUGUUCGUUUCCUUUCACUCUUUUUUCUCUAAUCUUGUCUUCUCACUUUAUUUCAUUAAUUUGAUCUUCAAUCACUGAUAUCCUUUCUUCCGCUUGAAUGAAUUGGCUAUUGAUACUUGUGUAUGCUUCACGAAGUUCUCAUACUGUGGGUUUCAGCUCCACCAGGUGAUUUAAGCUCUUCUCUACACUGGUUAUUCUAGUUAGCCAUUCAUCUAACCUUUUCUCAAGGUUUUUAGCUUCCUUGCGAUGGCUUAGAACAUGCUCCUUUAGCUUGGAGAAGUUUGUUAUUACUGAUCUUCUGAAGCCUACUUCUGUCAACUCAUCAGACUCAUUCUCCAUCCAGGAGAACACGACAGGAGUUGUGUUCCUUUGGAGGAGAAGAGGCAUUCUGGUUUUUGGAAUUUUCAGCCUUUCUACUCUAGUUUCUCCCCAUCCUUGUGGUUUUAUCUACCUUUGGUCUUUGAUGUUGGUGACCUACAGAUGGGGUUUUGGUAUGGAUGUCCUUUUUGUUGAUGUUGAUGCUAUUCCUUUCUGUUUGUUAGUUUUCCUUCUAACAGACAGGCCCCUCAGCUGCAGGUCUGUUGGAGUUUGCUGGAAAUCCACUCCAGACCCUGAUUGCCUGGGUAUCACCAGUGGAGGCUGCAGAACAGCAAAUAUUGCUGCCUGAUCCUUCCUCCGGAAGGUUUGUCCCAGAGGAGCACCCGCCUGUAUGAGAUGUCUGUCAGCCCCUACUGGGAGGUGUCUCCCAGUCAGGCUACACGGGGGUCAGGGAGCCACUUAAGGAGGCAGUCUGUCCAUUAUCAGUGCUCGAACACUGUGCUAGGAGAACCACUGCUCUCUUCAGAGCUAUCAGGCAGGGACGUUUAAGUCUGCAGAGCUUUCUGCUGCCUUUUCUUCGGAUAUGCCCUUCCCCAGAGGUGGAAUCUAGGGAGGCAGUAGGCCUUGCUGAGCUGCGGUGGGCUCCGCCCAGUUCGAGCUUCCCUGCCACUUUGUUUACACUGUGAGCAUAGAACCACCUACUCAAGCCUCAGCAAUGGCGGACACCCCUCCCCCUGCCAAGCUCCAGCAUCCCCCGGUCGAUCUCAGAUUGCUGCGCUAGCAGCGAGCAAGGCUCCAUGGGCGUGGGACCCACCGAGCCAGGCACGGGAGGGAAUCUCCUGGUCUGCUGGUUGCAAAGACCGUGGGAAAGGUGCAGUAUUUGGGCAGAAGCGUACCAUUCCUGCAGGUACAGUCACUCACGGCUUCCCUUGGCUAGGAAAGGGAAAUCCCCCAACCCCUUGUGCUUCCCGGGUGAGGCAAUGCCCUGCCCUGCUUUGGCUCACCCUCCAUGGCUGCACCCACUGUCCAACCAUUCCCAAUGAGAUGAACCAGGUACCUCAGUUGGAAAGGCAGAAAUCACCCAUCUUUUGCAUCGAUCUUGCUGGGAGCUGUAAACUGGAGCUCUUCCUAUUCGGCCAUCUUGGAAGUGACUCCCAUGAUCCAGUUUUAUCUUUGUUCCACAGCUAACCAUUGUUGCAGCACCACUUAAUAAAAACUCAGUAUUUGUCCCAAUGUUUUGAAAUGCCACCUUGAAUGUAUACCACUUUUCCAUAUGCACUUAGGUUGAUUUCCGGCCUUUUUAUUCUGUUCUGCUGGUCCAUCUAUUCAUGCACCAGUACCGCACAGUUUUAAUUACAGAGGCUUUGUAGACGUUUUAAUGAAUAGUAGUGCUAGUCUCCAAUGCCCACUAUAGCUUUUUGCCCCUCAGUAUUUUCCUAGAUAUUCGCAGGAAUGUUUCUUUUUCCAUAUAAACUGUAGUAUCAACUUGCUUAGCCCCAGUAACAAAAACUGUCCUCAAAGUGUUCUUAAAAUUUAGAAUGACUUCUCAGCAUUAAAGGUGGGGAGAUAUCACAUGAAAAUUGUAUUUCUGGUUUCUCUUGAAAAUUGGGAAGCGCUGUCACAUGGGCUUUUUUUUUUUUUUUCCCACAUGACCUAUUGCUGUAGGUCAGCCUGCACACAGGCCUGUGCUCUUCAAGACCACGCAGGCCUCACCAUUCCCUCUGACAGCUCACUGCUGCCCUUCUUCACACACGCAAGUUCCCUGUGUGACAUCUGAGUUGGUGACUGUGGCUUCAGAUGAUCACGAAAGUAUGUUCCAGGCCCAUCCUCCACCCUCUAUUUCUCUGUCUCACAACACAAAUGUUAAGAAAUGGAUUUGUGUUGCUUUGUUCACUGCUGUUAUUUCCAGGACCUAAGAAGAGGGUGUGGGGCGUGUCUGGCCCUAGGUAAGUCUUUGUUCAAUGAAGGCAUGUCAUAGAUAGGAAACAAGAAAUGAUCAGAACAUGUUCUGUCUUCAGAAAACCAUUGAAAAUACAUCAAAUGGAACCACACACUGUGGGUGGGAGUGACUUGGUACAGCCCUUAUAGAGAACAAUUUGGCAAUAUUUGUCAAAAUUACAAACACAUAGAUCAGUUGUUCCUGCAGUUCCAUUUCUAGAAAUUUGUCCUAAAGUAUAUUUGCACACAGGAAAAAUGACGGUGUACAGGGUUAAUUAUUGCAGUAAUAAUAAAAGAUUGAAAAAACCUAAAUUUCCCUCAAAAGGGGACUGAUUAUAUAAACUAUGGUUUAUCCAUAUAUUGGAAGAAUGGAAUGUUAUACAGCUAUAAAAAGAAUAAGGGGCCAGGCACAGUGGCUCACGCCUGUAGUCCUAGCACUUUGGGAGGCCAAGGCAGGCUGAUCACUUGAGUUCAGGAGUUUGAGACCAGCCUGGCCAACUUGGUGAAAUCCCAUCUCUACUAAAAAUACACAAAUUAUCCAGGUGUUGUGACACUUGCCUGUAAUCCCAGCUACUUGAGAAGCUGAGGCAGGAGAAUUGCUUGAACCCAGGAGGUGGAGAUUGCAAUGAACCGAGAUUGCACCACUGUACUCCAGCCUUGGUGACAGAGUGAAACUGCCUCAAAACAAAACAAAACAAAGGGUGCUAUCUGUGAAAUGAGAGGGAAAACAUGAGGUGCAGAAUAACGUAUCUAGUGGGCUACCUUUUAUGUAUAAAAGGAAAACAACCCAAAGGAAAUAUUCAUAUUUGCUUGCAAGUAUGUAAAGAAAAUCUGUAUGGACUCAUAAGAAAAUAGUAACAAUGGUUAGAUGGAGGGUGGAGGAGGUAUGGCGAAGAAACUGGGCAGAUGAGGACAGGGUGGGAAGGAAAAUUCUAAUUCUCUCUUUCUCACUUUCCAUGACUUUGAGGAGUAGGUUUUAGAGCAAAUAUUUAUAUAUAAUGUAUGCAUACAUACAUACACAUAUAGUAAUAACAAAUAUGAAACUAAAGUGACAGUAGAAGAAGCCAUCAGACCCUGGAGACCAUAACUAUCCACAGGACACUGUGUAUGGCCACCAUCUGAUGGAGGCUCUAGGUCACUCACUGGAAUUUUCAUCCACUCUUGCUAGAAGAUAAUUUAUUGGGCAUGUUCCUUUCAUCUUGACAGAAAAGACAGUGAAAUAUGUUUCCACUCCUACUGUCUUGCACUCAGAUAAUCCCAGAGAGCACUUUACAGAUUGACAGCCAAUAAACCACUUCACCCAGUGGAGAAAUAGAGCAAAUUCCAAGAUGGAAUUGGUGACAUCCAUGCCACAGGGGAUGGCCCAGCAAAUGCUUCGUGAUAAAUAAGUUGAAAUAGCCCAGCUAGUGAAAUCUGCACUGAGAAUUUAGCAAAGAAAGAAUUUAUCAAGUUACUAUUGUUCUAGAAUGAUAGAAAGCAAAAUCUUCUAAACUAUUGAAAUACAAAUUCAGGAAGUCUUCCAAGAAUAACUCAGAUCUUAUAUAUAGAGUCUGGCACAUGGCAUAUGAUCAAUGUAAAAUGAAUUUUAAAAUAGAAAAUUUAUUAAACAGAGUGCUGUUACUCAAAUAAAUUAAAUGGAUGAAUCUGUUUCUGUCAUAGCAUAUAUAAAAAUAUUUUAAACUGGGGAGCCCAGAGAAUAAUUAAAACUUGGCCAGGUGCAGUGGCUUACGCCUGUAAUCCCAGCACUUUGGGAGGCUGGGGUGGAUGGAUCACCUGAGAUCAGGAGUUUGAGACCAGACUGGUCAAUAUGGUGAAACCCCAUUUCUACUAAAAAUACAAAAAGUUAGCCAGUUGUGGUGACGGGUGCCUGUAAUCCCAGCUACUAGGGAGGCUGAGGCAGGAGAAUCGCUUGAACCCAGGAGGAGGAGGUUGCAGUGAGCCAAGAUUAUGCUACUGUACUCCAGCCUGGACGACAGAGUGAGAAUCUGUCUAAAAAAAAAAUACUGUGGCAGAUGAUAUUUUUGUAUAUAUGUGUAUUUUAAUAAUUUUGUCCUUUUUUGGUCUAUAGUUUAAUUUUUUUCUGGGAUUGCCACUGUGUCUUUGGAGUUAUUAGUUUCCUUUUUUAAAAAAAAUUCUCAAAUGUCAAGCCAUUCUAUUUACACCUUUGCAGAGAUCUGAUGCAAAUUUCAACAUUUUUGGUAGGCUAAAUAUUGUUGUUUUAAUUCUGUAUGCCACAGCUCAGAGUCACAUUGUCAAAGUAUAAUAUUCACUUUAAAAAAACUUUAGCAUAAAUACCUCAGACUAAAUAUAUUUAUAUCCAGGGAAAAUGUUCAAACUGUUAAGCUAAGAGCAUACAGUUAAGCAUUCAUACAGACUUAUAUGAACAUAGACAUGAAAGGAAUCUAUAUUAAAUAGUACAAGAGGAAUGUAACAGCUUAGAAUCAAAAUAUGCCUCUGUUGCCUUUAUGUGUUUAAAACUAACAUUUUUUAGUAGCUGAAAUUGUAGAGAAAAUGUUGCCCAGAAGUACCCAUUGAUUUGAGGGCAUUUCACUCAUUGUUACAAGGAUGUGAAGAGUGAAUCUCCUUGGCAAUGAUAUCAUUUUGGAGACAGAGUAGGGAAAAUAGGUUACAAAACAGUGCAUAGAGAAUGGUUCCAUUUCAGUAAGGAUCAUCUUCUACGCUUCAUCAUAAUUCUCAAUUUCUCAAGAGUUCUGCAACCUGAGAUGAAUACAGUAGUCCCCUCUUAUCCAUGGGGUAUACUUUCUGAGACCCCCCUCUUAUCCAAGGGGGAUACUUUCUGAGAAUCCCCUCCCCUUAUCCAUGGGGGAUACUUUCUGAGAUUCCCACCCCCCCCCACCAGUGGAUGCCUGAAACUGCGAUAGUACCAAACUCUGUAUAUACUAUGUUUUUCCCUAUACAUACAUAUCUAUGAUAAAGUUUAAUUUAUAAACUAGGCACAGUAAUAGAGUAACACAAUAAUAAAAUAGAACAAUUAUAACAAUACGCCAGCGUCGCUUCUCUUCUGCUUUGGGGCCACUAUUCAUUCAAGUAAGGGUGACUUGAACCCAAGCACCAUAAUACCACUGCAGUCGAGCUGUUAACCAAGACGAAGUGACUAACGGGCAGGCCGCGUGGCUGAUUCACAUCCCAGGUGGGACGGAGCAGGAUGUGUAAGAUUUCAUUACGCUACUCAAAACGGCAUGCAACUUAACACUUACAAAAUAUUUAUUUCUGGAAUUUUCCAUUUAAUAUUUUCAGACUGCAGUUGACAGCAGAUAACUGAAAGCUCGGAAAGCGAAACCGUGGAUAAGCAGGGGAACUGUGGCAUCCCAUUUAAAAUUGCUUCUGAAGAGAAGCAUGAGGUUACAUCUGUAAUCUCCCUGCAGCAGAGUCAACUGCAUAAGAAACCAAAAGACACACCUGCUCCAUGCCAGGUUAGUACCCAC